UCUUCAUUUCCCCACACUCUCUCACCGGUCAGAGAGGAGAGAGAAUGUGUGAAAUGAAGAGA
rfam:Pristionchus pacificus strain PS312 contig11524, whole genome shotgun sequence.